rnacentral:tRNA from 1 species
GGGCGAUUAGCUCAGUCGGUAGAGCACCUUGUUUACACCGAGGGUGUCGGCGGUUCGAGUCCGUCAUCGCCCACCA